rnacentral:rRNA from 1 species
UACGAGAGGCCCAAACGUUAUUCGGAAUUACUGGGCUUAAAGAGUUCGUAGGCGGCAUUGCAAGUAGGGUGUGAAAGCCCUCGGCUCAACCGAGGAAUUGCGCUCUAAACUGCAGUGCUCGAGGAACCUAGAGGUGAGCAGAACAGAUGGUGGAGCGGUGAAAUGCGUUGAUAUUAUCUGGAAUACCGGAGGCGAAGGCGGCUCACUGGGGGUUUUCUGACGCUGAGGAACGAAAGCCAGGGUAGCGAACGGG